CUCCUCCUCUUCCUCCUCCUCCUCGCUUUUGUGCCCGCCGCGCCCAGCCCCGGCUGCAGCUGUGUCCUGAAGGCCCGGACCAAAGGCUGCACCUGCCAGUCAGGCGCCGGGAUAAGUCCUGUCUGAGCUGCGCUCUGUGAUUAAGACUUGUGUAAAAUGCUUACCGAGUGCCAAGCAGGCGCUCCUCUAUCUAGUGAACCAGAAUACAAGACAUUGAAUUAAAUUCUGGGCCUUUCUGGAAAAAAGAAUCUUCGCGAGCAUCAAGGAGAACUGGGUCAUUCAUUCAUUCAGCAAAAACCUGUACAUGUCUACCAUAUCUGACGUUAAGUAUGGGGGUGGGGAGAUUGUGACAGACUUGUACCAGACUCCCCACUGUUCCAACAUGCCAUAGCACAUUGGUCUGUAAUUCUUACAUUUGUGUUUCCCUGAAAUACCGACCUCUCCUGUUUCAUCCCAAGGAUACAGCAUUCACUCUCCUUUAGGAACUGCCUCUCCCUCCUAAGGAGAACAUUCCUGUCCUCAACUUGUCCCUGGUCUUAUCUUUCAGUCCAUUAGUCCACAAGUCGAGCAUAUUUAUCAAUGAGUGGGUGUGAGAUCAAAUCGGGUGGAGCAGAAUCCUUUCCUGGGCUUGCUACAUAAAGGGCAGGGUAGCAAAUUAGUAUUCUGUUUCCCGAGUGGGAGGGCAUUCUCACUAGCAGACAAUGAAACUAAACUGAAGAUAAGCCCAAAUCGGAGGAAGCCUAGAAGAGGGCACUUUCUGAUGGAAACACAGUAGCAAAACUGUGCCGCUUGCUUUAUUCGCAGGAGGGGGGAAAUCUCAGCCCAGCAUCUUGUCAAAGUUCGCUGCGUGGCUACAGCCACCGCCUUAAGCUGGCUUUCUGUCUCAGUUCAGCAUCCUAGUGUGAGAGCUCAAGAGGAAGUCAUAUGGUUUUAACUUGACACUAAAAUUGGUUAGCAAAAAAAUUAAAGUGGAAAUUAGAGCAAAUAUUAGAUCAGAGUUUGGCAAGCUGCUGUCCGCAGGCCAAUCCCAGCCCACUGAAUUUGAGUGACCACUUUAUAACUGUCCAAAUACUACAUUUUAAAGGACUUUUAAAAAUCUGAUUGCUUUUCAAUUUUGUUCUUUAAGCUCAUGGUCUAAAGUACUAUCAAAGCCUUUACAAGAAAAGUCUGUACAAUCCUGUAAUAGAGCACUCCAUAAAUUGUGAAGAAGGAAGCUAUGUAGCAAAGUACAUUUGGGGGUAUUUUUAAUUGUCCUGCCAUAUAUGGAUUUUUUUUAAUUUUUUGCAAUUUGAGAGAACAUGUAUAAUGACAGUAUCUCUUCUUUUCUUUCCUUAUCCCUAAAUUAUUUCCACUUCUCUACCAAGACCUAUCCUGGGAGACUGAUAUCCAUAGACUUAUCAUUUGGGGCUCCUUGUUUUUGCUUCCUGUUAAGUCAAACCAGGAGAAAAAAAAUCAGAAAGAAGAGAAAAAUGACAGACUCUAUAUUAUGUUCUUUUUCCCUUAUGCUAAACCUAACCAUGAUGGACUGGAGGACAACUUGGAAGGGGCCACUCUUUCCUCCCACUGGUUUCCAGGGACCAAAGGCACACACCUUCGCUCUUUGAGCCAACUCACAGGCCCACGGACAUUUAUUCAAAAUUCACCAGUCAGGAUCACAAAGUUGCUUUAGUUUUUAAGAGUAGCUGUUGCUCUUGCAGAGGGUCUAGGUUACGUUUGCAGGACCCACAUGAUGGCUCACCAUUGUCUGUAAUUCUAUUUCCAGGGCAUGUGAUGCCCUCUCUGGCUUCAGCAAACAUUACACACACAUGUGGUACACAUACACACACUAAAAAUAAAUCUUUUAAAAAAUCACCAA